AAUAAACAGACAAUUCAGUAACAUAGGAGCUAUAGAUAUUUCAGAAGUUCUUAUUCCAGACUAUGUCAAUUCACCUCCCCCUGUUAAAGAUACAGAGGAAAUACUUUAUGGAAUAAGCUCACAUUGGGGAAAACAGUACUUUCUUGAUCACUAUCCAAUAAUAGAUCAUACUAAAUUUGAUGAAAAUUGUUACUCAGUAGAAACUUUAUUUGCUCAACUAUAAAGUCAAUUGAGGUUACAACAAGCAUGCAUGAAUAGACUGUUGCUUUUUACAUAAUUUUAUAGCCAAAGUUAAGAGAGCUUUUGUUAUAUAUUGAUAUAUUAUUUUGGUAUUCAUUCCUAUUAUUAUUUCCUAAGG